rnacentral:lncRNA from 1 species
AGAGGCAGGCUUGCAAACAUCUCUUCAGCAACMUGCGAUGCUUCCGGAGUGCAAAGUGAGGAGGAUGCUGAGUUUCUCUCCUGCCUCCACCCCACCAGCACCCAUCCGCAGUGGRCAGAGUUCGCUUGCGUCUAGCCUGGUACAGAGCUCUCACAAAAAUGUACAAACUGGGUGUUUGAAGUGCUAAUGAAAGAGGAUUCAUCACAGCUGUGAGAGGUGGCUCUGGUGAUUAAUUACCUUCAUCAUCAAAAGUGCUUUUUGUGUCCCUAAUCUGAAUAUGCCUGGCCUUGGCCUCAGCCRUGCUUGGGCUGGUGGGGUUAGCAGGGCUGCUGCAGAGGACAGUCAAAGCAAGUUUGUAUGCUGAGGCAGUACUGGGUCUGCCAGAGCUGUUACUGUCCUUUUCUGAAAGCCCACUUUAGUCUAGGGAAAGCUGAAAGUUGCAAUGCAGAUGUUUAAACCUUCAGUCUGAUGCUUAACAGCCAGACCCAGCACAGGAAAUGGAGGCCCGGUGAGUUGAAGUGCCUUGGUGUGCUCACCACAGUCCUGGGCAGUCGCUCCUGACUGUCCAGGUCUCCUCUGCUCCGGGGUAGUGCUCUGCCUUCUGGGAAGCACUGUCUCCCUGUUUGUAAAGCGUUUUCGGUAUGCCUGCUGCACAAAGGCUGGUGACCGUGGGUGUUCCACGUUCGCUGUUGCCUUGGGCUCCUACUGCUGAUGCUUUCGAGUUGGAUAGCGUUAGAGAGGGAGCCUCCAGCAGUGAAAGGAGAGUGCCUGAGGGCCCCCAGUGCCCUUGUGUGCCUCUGGGAAGCUGGUGCUUGACCCCCCUCUGUGUGCGGUAGCUUGUUGGCAUUCCCUUUUCUUUUCAYCGCUUAUUCCCCUGCUCUCUCUUCCCUCAGAUUUGGACAUGGCCAGAGAACCCAAGCCAAGCCGGGCCAGGCUGGGCCAGAAGAGGCAGCACAGCAGCACCCUGUACCACAGUAACUGCGAUCUGGACUACGAUCUCUACAGGGAUGACUUCCCGUACCGAGUGUAUGAGUACCAGAAAAUCCCACCUCUCAUUAACCGCAUCCCUGUCAAGGCCAGACGAACUCAUGUUGGGGCAGGAGGCAAAAGUAGUCUAAGCCCCCAGCCUGGGACGAGGAGCAGCACCAGCUCCACGACAGGACGGACAAAGUUGCGGGCCGAAGAGCUGCACUCGAUCAAAGGGGAGCUGAGUCAGAUCAAGGCACAGGUGGACAGUCUGCUGGAGAGCCUGGACCGCAUGGACCAGCGGAGAGACCGUCUCUCAGGGUCCAAGGAGAGUGAGAAGAAAAGGGCCGAAGUGGGUGCAGAGCCGCCAUCCCCAGCAGGAGAGGGGCCACGGGAGCCCCAGGGGAAGGAGGCGUCAGGAGCUGAUGGGCACAGUGACCUGCGCAACAUCGACAGUGCAGAGGAGAGCACGGACACCGAGGAGACGAUGAAAAAUCACACGUCAGACCCCGAGGGGAGUCAGUAGAUGGACUGGGAUACCGUGGCCUUCCUGGUGGGCCAGCAGUUCCUGUCUUGUGUUCGUAUUUCUUUUGAGGCUUCCAGCUAGUGCCACGUGUGAUGCGAGGUACCCACUUGCAGCACUCAUGCCCAGCACGGGCAUCCCCUGCCACUGUUGCCAGCAGCCCCAUGUCCCACCCCUGCAAGACUUUGGCCUGCUGUGGUGAGAGAAGCCUUUGUGUUUGCGCUUUUUAAUUUUUUUUCCCCUCCUGUUUUUAGACUAGGGAUAAAUAAAUGUGUUGGGAGGGUUAGAGGGUAGAAGCA